AUACGUAGGGCGCAAGCGUUGUCCGGAAUUAUUGGGCGUAAAGAGCUCGUAGGCGGCUUGUCGCGUCGGUUGUGAAAGCCCGGGGCUUAACUCCGGGUCUGCAGUCGAUACGGGCAGGCUAGAGUUCGGUAGGGGAGAUCGGAAUUCCUGGUGUAGCGGUGAAAUGCGCAGAUAUCAGGAGGAACACCGGUGGCGAAGGCGGAUCUCUGGGCCGAUACUGACGCUGAGGAGCGAAAGCGUGGGUAGCGAACAGGAUUAGAUACCCUGGUAGUCCACGCCGUAAACGGUGGGCACUAGGUGUGGGCAGCAUUCCACGUUGUCCGUGCCGUAGCUAACGCAUUAAGUGCCCCGCCUGGGGAGUACGGCCGCAAGGCUAAA
rnacentral:rRNA from 1 species